GACGAACGCUGGCGGCGUGCCUAAUACAUGCAAGUUGAGCGAUGAAGAUUGGUGCUUGCACCAAUUUGAAGAGCAGCGAACGGGUGAGUAACGCGUGGGGAAUCUGCCUUUGAGCGGGGGACAACAUUUGGAAACGAAUGCUAAUACCGCAUAACAACUUUAAACAUAAGUUUUAAGUUUGAAAGAUGCAAUUGCAUCACUCAAAGAUGAUCCCGCGUUGUAUUAGCUAGUUGGUGAGGUAAAGGCUCACCAAGGCGAUGAUACAUAGCCGACCUGAGAGGGUGAUCGGCCACAUUGGGACUGAGACACGGCCCAAACUCCUACGGGAGGCAGCAGUAGGGAAUCUUCGGCAAUGGACGAAAGUCUGACCGAGCAACGCCGCGUGAGUGAAGAAGGUUUUCGGAUCGUAAAACUCUGUUGGUAGAGAAGAACGUUUGUGAGAGUGGAAAGCUCAUCAAGUGACGGUAACUACCCAGAAAGGGACGGCUAACUACGUG
rnacentral:rRNA from 1 species